rnacentral:rRNA from 1 species
ACGAACGCUGGCGGCAUGCCUAACACAUGCAAGUCGCACGAGACCUUCGGGUCUAGUGGCGCACGGGUGCGUAACGCGUGGGAACCUGCCCUUAGGUUCGGAAUAACUCCCCGAAAGGGGUGCUAAUACCGGAUAAUGUCUUCGGACCAAAGAUUUAUCGCCUUUGGAUGGGCCCGCGUUGGAUUAGCUAGUUGGUAGGGUAACAGCCUACCAAGGCGACGAUCCAUAGCUGGUCUGAGAGGAUGAUCAGCCACACUGGGACUGAGACACGGCCCAGACUCCUACGGGAGGCAGCAGUGGGGAAUAUUGGACAAUGGGCGAAAGCCUGAUCCAGCAAUGCCGCGUGAGUGAUGAAGGCCUUAGGGUUGUAAAGCUCUUUUACCCGGGAUGAUAAUGACAGUACCGGGAGAAUAAGCUCCGGCUAACUCCGUG